CUUUUCUUAGUCUGAUAUAAUUGAAAUAUCUGUGCAGGGAUAUUUCCAGAUCCUGUACUCUUGCAUCGAGAAAUUGCUUGCAUUUUUAAAUGUGAGGACCUUUGUUCUACCAGCUGCUGACGAGGCAAAGUCGAUAUGGACAGAUAAAUUUGGAUUUCAGACAAUAUCACAAGAGCAGCUUGACAAGUACAGACAGACCUGUUCGCAAAUGGUAUCCUUCAAAGGGACAUCUAUGUUAGGUAAAGCGGUUCCAAAAUGUCGGAUUAUUACUCAAGAAGAAGCUGAACCUGAUGUCCCGUUGCAGUGAUUGGCAAAAUGAAGCCUUUCAAGCCACUAUGAUUCACUGGCUUCAAGGGAUGACGCAAAUUUCUUAGUUAUUUAUUUAAAUCCUUAACUGAUUUUAAAAGCUGGUUUACAAGUUGCAAAUUAGAUACAGGUAACAGCUGAAAGGAAUAGGAAAUACCUUUAGACUUUUGACAAUACAAAAUGAUUUCAGUGUAAAAAUGUUGUUGACAGAAUGUUUUUGGCUUAA